GACGACGCUGGCGGCGUGGAUUAGGCAUGCAAGUCGAACGGUAUCAUCCUUUCAGGGGGUGAGAGAGUGGCGAACUGGUGAGUAACACGUAGGUUAUCUACCCUCAAGACGGGGACAACCCAGGGAAACUUGGGCUAAUACCGGAUGUGAGCAACUUUUAGUUGUUUGAAAGGUGGCGUAAGCUGUCGCUUGGGGAUGAGCCUGCGUCCUAUUAGUUAGUUGGUGAGGUAACGGCUCACCUAGGCAAUGAUAGGUAGGCGGCCUUAACGGGUGGUCGCCCACACUGGGAUUGAGAUACGGCCCAGACUCCUACGGGAGGCAGCAGUCGAGAAUAGUCUACAAUGGUCGGAAGACUGAUAGUGCGACGCCGCGUGAACGAUGAAUCCCUUCGGGGUGUAAAGUUCUUUUAUAUGUGAGCAGUGCUUCUUAUAUUAACAGUAUGGGGAGAGAGAUAUUAGCAUAUGAAUAAGCAACGGCUAACUCCGUG
rnacentral:rRNA from 1 species